rnacentral:rRNA from 1 species
UAACGCGUGAGGAACCUGCCUUUCAGAGGGGGAGUAACAGUUGGAAACGACUGCUAAUACCGCAUAACGCUGCGAUGGGGCAUCCCGAUGCAGCCAAAGGAGCAAUCCGCUGGAAGAUGGGCUCGCGGCCGAUUAGCUAGUUGGUGGGGCAACGGCCCACCAAGGCGACGAUCGGUAGCCGGACUGAGAGGUUGAUCGGCCACAUUGGGACUGAGACACGGCCCAGACUCCUACGGGAGGCAGCAG